GAUGAACGCUGGCGGCGUGCCUAAUACAUGCAAGUCGAGCGAACGGACGAGAAACUUGCUUCUCUGAUGUUAGCGGCGGACGGGUGAGUAAAACGUGGAUAACCUACCUAUAAGACUGGGAUAACUUCGUGAAACCGGAGCUAAUACCGGAUAAUAUUUUGAACCGCAUGGUUCAAAAGUGAAAGACGGUCUUGCUGUCACUUAUAGAUGGAUCCGCGCUGCUUUAGCUAGUUGGUAAGGUAACGGCUUACCAAGGGAACAAUGCAUAGCCGACCUGAGAGAGGGAUCGCCCACACGGGAACUGGGACCGGCCCCAGACUCCUACGGGGGGCAGCGUGGGGGAAUUUUCCGCAAGGGGGGAAAGCCGGACGGAGCAAGGCGGCGUGAGUGAGGCAGGUUUUCGGUUCGUAAGACUCGUUUAUUAGGGAAGAACAUAUUUGUAAGAAACUGGGCACAUCUUGACGGUACCGAAACAGAAAGCCACGGCUAACUACGUG
rnacentral:rRNA from 1 species